GGUUAAGUGAAUAAGGGCGCACGGUGGAUGCCUUGGCACUAGGAGCCGAUGAAGGACGGGACUAACACCGAUAUGCUUCGGGGAGCUGUACGUAAGCUUUGAUCCGGAGAUUUCCGAAUGGGGAAACCCAGCAUCUUUUAUAGGAUGUUACUUUUCAGUGAAUACAUAGCUGAUUAGAGGUAGACGCAGAGAACUGAAACAUCUAAGUACCUGCAGGAAGAGAAAGAAAAUUCGAUUCCCUGAGUAGCGGCGAGCGAAACGGGAAAAGCCCAAACCAAGAGGCUUGCCUCUUGGGGUUGUAGGACUCCGAUAUGGUAGUCCAGUGAGAUAGUCGAAGGACCUGGAAAGGUCCGCUAGAAAGGGUAAUAGCCCCGUAGACAAAAUUUGACUGGCACCUAGGAGGAUCCUGAGUACGGCGGAACACGAGGAAUUCCGUCGGAAUCCGGGAGGACCAUCUCCCAAGGCUAAAUACUCCCUAGUGACCGAUAGUGAACCAGUACCGUGAGGGAAAGGUGAAAAGCACCCCGGAAGGGGAGUGAAAUAGAUCCUGAAACCGUGUGCCUACAACAAGUUAGAGCCCGUUAAUGGGUGAUAGCGUGCCUUUUGUAGAAUGAACCGGCGAGUUACGAUUACUUGCGAGGUUAAGUUGAAAAGACGGAGCCGUAGCGAAAGCGAGUCUGAAUAGGGCGAAUGAGUAAGUGGUCGUAGACCCGAAACCAUGUGAUCUACCCAUGUCCAGGUUGAAGGUGCGGUAAAACGCACUGGAGGACCGAACCCACGUACGUUGAAAAGUGCGGGGAUGAGGUGUGGGUAGCGGAGAAAUUCCAAACGAACUUGGAGAUAGCUGGUUCUCUCCGAAAUAGCUUUAGGGCUAGCCUCAGAGUAAGAAUGAUGGAGGUAGAGCACUGUUUGGACUAGGGGCCCAUCUCGGGUUACCGAAUUCAGAUAAACUCCGAAUGCCAUCCAUUCAUCUCUGGGAGUCAGACUGUGAGUGAUAAGAUCCAUAGUCGAAAGGGAAACAGCCCAGACCACCAGCUAAGGUCCCCAAAUAACUAUUAAGUGGAAAAGGAUGUGGGGUUGCACAGACAACUAGGAUGUUGGCUCAGAAGCAGCCACCAUUUAAAGAGUGCGUAAUAGCUCACUAGUCGAGUGACCCUGCGCCGAAAAUGUACCGGGGCUAAAUAGUUUACCGAAGCUGUGGAGCACACCACAAGGUGUGUUGGUAGGAGAGCGUUCUAAGGGCGUUGAAGGUAGAUCGUGAGGACUGCUGGAGCGCUUAGAAGUGAGAAUGCCGGUAUGAGUAGCGAAAGACAGGUGAGAAUCCUGUCCACCGAAUGACUAAGGUUUCCUGGGGAAGGCUCGUCCGCCCAGGGUUAGUCGGGACCUAAGCCGAGGCCGAAAGGCGUAGGCGAUGGAUAACAGGUUGAUAUUCCUGUACCCGUUGUUUUUGUUUGAGCAAUGGAGGGACGCAGGAGGCUAAGGAAUCAGACGAUUGGAAAUGUCUGUCCAAGCAACANNNNNNNNNNNNNNNNNNNNNNNNNNNNNNNNNNNNNNNNNNNNNNNNNNNNNNNNNNNNNNNNNNNNNNNNNNNNNNNNNNNNNNNNNNNNNNNAGAAGUGCUUAGCGUAAGCGAAGGUACGAAUUGAAGCCCCAGUAAACGGCGGCCGUAACUAUAACGGUCCUAAGGUAGCGAAAUUCCUUGUCGGGUAAGUUCCGACCCGCACGAAAGGCGUAACGAUUUGGGCACUGUCUCAACGAGAGACUCGGUGAAAUUUUAGUACCUGUGAAGAUGCAGGUUACCCGCGACAGGACGGAAAGACCCCAUGGAGCUUUACUGCAGUUUGAUAUUGAGUGUUUGUACCACAUGUACAGGAUAGGUAGGAGCCGUAGAAGUCGGGACGCUAGUUUCGACAGAGGCGCUGGUGGGAUACUACCCUUGUGUUAUGACCACUCUAACCCGCACCACUAAUCGUGGUGGGAGACAGUGUCAGAUGGGCAGUUUGACUGGGGCGGUCGCCUCCUAAAGAGUAACGGAGGCGCCCAAAGGUUCCCUCAGAAUGGUUGGAAAUCAUUCGCAGAGUGUAAAGGCACAAGGGAGCUUGACUGCGAGACCUACAAGUCGAGCAGGGACGAAAGUCGGGCUUAGUGAUCCGGUGGUUCCGCAUGGAAGGGCCAUCGCUCAACGGAUAAAAGCUACCCUGGGGAUAACAGGCUUAUCUCCCCCAAGAGUCCACAUCGACGGGGAGGUUUGGCACCUCGAUGUCGGCUCGUCGCAUCCUGGGGCUGUAGUCGGUCCCAAGGGUUGGGCUGUUCGCCCAUUAAAGCGGCACGCGAGCUGGGUUCAGAACGUCGUGAGACAGUUCGGUCCCUAUCCGUCGCGGGCGUUGGAAAUUUGAGAGGAUCUGUCCUUAGUACGAGAGGACCGGGAUGGACUUACCGCUGGUGUACCAGUUGUCUCGCCAGAGGCAUCGCUGGGUAGCUAUGUAGGGAAGGGAUAAACGCUGAAAGCAUCUAAGUGUGAAGCCCACCUCAAGAUGAGAUUUCCCAUUUCUUUAAGAAAGUAAGAUCCCUGAGAGAUGAUCAGGUAGAUAGGUCAGGAGUGGAAGUGCAGUGAUGUACGGAGCGGACUGAUACUAAUCGAUCGAGGACUUAACCAA
rnacentral:rRNA from 1 species